rnacentral:rRNA from 1 species
GACGAACGCUGGCGGCGUGCUUAACACAUGCAAGUCGAACGGAAAGGCCCUGCUUUUGUGGGGUGCUCGAGUGGCGAAGGGGUGAGUAACACGUGAGUAACCUGCCCUUGACUUUGGGAUAACUUCAGGAAACUGGGGCUAAUACCGGAUAGGAGCUCCUGCUGCAUGGUGGGGGUUGGAAAGUUUCGGCGGUUGGGGCUGGACUCGCGGCUUAUCAGCUUGUUGGGGGGGGAGUGGCUUACCAAGGCUUUGACGGGUAGCCGGCCUGGGAGGGUGGCCGGCCACAUUGGGCCUGAGGUACGGCCCAGACUCCUACGGGAGGCAGCAGUGGGGAAUAUUGCACAAUGGGCGGAAGCCUGAUGCAGCAACGCCGCGUGCGGGAUGACGGCCUUCGGGUUGUAAACCGCUUUCGCCUGUGACGAAGCGUGAGUGACGGUAAUGGGUAAAGAAGCACCGGCUAACUACGUG